rnacentral:lncRNA from 14 species
UUUCACUCAGUAUGGAAGAGCCAUAAGGCUGUGAUUCAAACUGAAGACAUUAGUCUGUUCAGAGGUUCAGAGUGACCAGAGUGCUCCGCUGUUGUAACCAAUUUGUUGUCAAGUCCAGAAGGAGUUGAAGAAAAUAAAGUGAAAAUCCAUUCAAGAAAAAUAAUCAAAGGAUUUGGACGAAACAGGUUGGAUGUACUUCCCGGUUAGUGGAUUACAACAGGAGAGAAAAGUGCCUGUGCUUGCAAAACAAUUACUCUGAUCCUCCAAUUGUUUAUGUGUUAUAAAGCAAGGAAGUGUGUGAUUGCCUGAUGGUCACCAGUGUUUCUUGCAUGGUAGCUGUUCACCUGCUG